AUUGAACGCUGGCGGCAUGCCUUACACAUGCAAGUCGAACGGUAACAGGUCUUCGGAUGCUGACGAGUGGCGAACGGGUGAGUAAUACAUCGGAACGUGCCUAGUAGUGGGGGAUAACUACUCGAAAGAGUGGCUAAUACCGCAUGAGAUCUACGGAUGAAAGCAGGGGAUCGCAAGACCUUGUGCUACUAGAGCGGCCGAUGGCAGAUUAGGUAGUUGGUGGGAUAAAAGCUUACCAAGCCGACGAUCUGUAGCUGGUCUGAGAGGAUGAUCAGCCACACUGGAACUGAGACACGGUCCAGACUCCUACGGGAGGCAGCAGUGGGGAAUAUUGGACAAUGGGCGAAAGCCUGAUCCAGCCAUGCCGCGUGAGUGAUGAAGGCCCUCGGGUUGUAAAGCUCUGUCGGGAGGGACGAACGGUCUCGGGUAACGCCGAGGAUUGACGGUACCUCCAAAGGAAGCACCGGCUAACUCUGUGCCAGCAGCCGCAGUAAAAC
rnacentral:rRNA from 1 species